rnacentral:misc_RNA from 1 species
GUCUUAUUGAUAAUAAUUUUAAGUCUAAUCUGCCCAGUGAUAUAUUAAAUGGCUGCAGUAUUUUAACUGUACAAAGGUAGCAUAAUAAUUAGUUUCUUAAUUAGGAACUGGAAUGAAAGAUUGAACGAGACAAUAACUGUCUUAAUAUAAAUUUAAGAAUUUUAUUUUUAAGUUAAAAAGCUUAAAUUUUUUUAAAAGACGAGAAGACCCUAUAGAAUUUUAUAUUAUUUUUAUAUUUAAAUUAUAGUAUUAAAAUUUUAAAUUUUAUUAAGAGUAUUUAAUUGGGGUGAUUGAAAAAUUUAUUUAACUUUUUUUAUUAAUUUUACAUUAAUUUAUGUUUUAUUGAUCCAAUAUUUUUGAUUAUAAGAUUAAAUUACCUUAGGGAUAACAGCGUAAUUUUUUUAGAGAGUUCUUAUCGAUAAAAGAGAUUGCGACCUCGAUGUUGGAUUAAAGUUAAUUUUUGAUGUAGAAGUUAAAAUAUUAGGUCUGUUCGACCUUUAAAACUUUACAUGAUCUGAGUUUAAAUCGGCGUGAGCCAGGUUGGAUUCUAUCUUUAAAAAGUUAUUAUAUUUUAGUACGAAAGGACCAAAUAUAAUUUAUAAUAAAUUUUAUAGAAUAUUAUUAUUAUUUUGGCAGAUUACUGCUUUAAAUUUAGAAUUUAAAUAUGUAAGUUUUACAAAUAAUA